UCUGAGAUCAAACAAAAUAAACAUCACACGAUUGAAGAACCAUCUAAAGACCAGUUCAAAUAAAAUCCAGCUUUUUGGAAAUCAAACAAAAAUGAUGGAUUAAGACUUCUGUCCAGUAAAAUUCUAGGGAUCAAAACAUUUUUUAUUUUUUUUUUUAUCUCUGGUAUUGGGUGGAAUAUUUAGGCUGUUUAGAACAUGGCUCUCUGAAGGAACUUUAAUAAAAAGCAAGAGUGCAGAAAGAUUUUGUAGACAUAGUGCGAGUGAAUCCGUGCUCGUAUUUGUUGCAAAUCUUGGCUCACUGCACCAAAACCACUGCAGCUGUCUGCAGAGGCAUUCUGCAAGUAGGAGGAGCUGGGCAUUUACCCUCCUAGGCCACUAGAGGUAGCGGCUUAAAUGCAAAGUGAGCAGUGAUUAUUUGCUUUAUCCGACGCUGAAUUACAAAAGACUAAAUUAGAAAUGUAUUUGGUAUAUAAGAAGCUAAGAACCUCCUCACCAAGUUGUUCUGCAUAUCAGAGGAGAGCAUGCUUUGAAAACAUCAGAGACUGGCUGGUUAUGGAACAAUGGCUGGACACAAAAAAAUAGGUGUCUUUAGCUUUGACCACCACCAGAUGGCAGUAUGGAGGCUGCAUUCAUUCCCUGGUAAAAGUAGGGUGCGGGAAGUGUGGGCAGAUGCAACAAAAGGGUAGUUGUUAAUGCCUGAGUGUCCUUUAAGCACAUUUUCAUAUCAGAUCUGUGUGUUUAUGUUGCCUCUUGUCACUAGGCAGUAAAGGAGCUGCCCACAUCCGUGUGAGUUCACAGAUUUGGAAAUAAAUAAUUGUUUCUGGACAGAGUGCUGAUUUCCACCUGGUCAUUGACUGAUCCAUUGCAGGUGUUCACUCGCUUGGGGUUGGAUCUAACGGCUCCAUAGCUUUCCAACAGAAGAGAGGGGGGGAAAGGGGAGACGAGACAUCUGGCAGCCUGCUUCUCCACAUCGUUAUCCAGUUUCAAGAUUUGUUUUAAAAGGAAAACGAUCCAUGCUAGUAUUUGUACAGAUAUGAUUCAAAAUGUGUUUAAACAUUUUAAUCAAGAUUUUUAUUUCUUCUAGCAUGACAUGUACAUUGUUUGUUUUAAAGAAAUAAUUUUCACCACAUAAAUAAAAUGUGUUGAAUCUGCAUUGUUUAUUUUAUUGACAAACAUGAUAUAUUGGAUAUAAGAGCUAGUGUCUCAAGAAGGAUCUUGAUUAACUGAUCCGUGUGUUUAUAUAUAAUCAGUUGAUUACUGCAGCAGUGUCUAAAUAAGUUUGUCUAAAAAGUCUGACCACUUUUGACCUGGAUUGCUGCUACCCCUGCCCUCAUUUAAGUUAGAAAUACAGAGCAAUACCCACAUUCUAAAGUUUGUUAAACGAGUUACACGUAUCAUGGGGAAUAGACUUAAACUACUGAGUGGCUUUGCAUUAAAUACAAUACAGAUGUAUUAUUUCUAAACCACCAGGCUACCUAUGACCUCUGGUUUAAGUCUACUUUACAUCCACACAAUCAGGACCAAUUAUGGAGAUGCAGAAAAGCUUGUAAAUUAAAGUUAAAAAAAAAAAAAUCAAGAUGCAUUUUACUGUUCUAUUUAAACUAAAUUGAAAUGACUAGAUUUGGUCUGCAGACGUUUAAUUAAGCAGUGAAAUGUACUUGUUUUCAUCAUGUAAAGUACUUUGAUUUGUAUUAAAGUUUGACUGUUUUGUUACAACUCAAAUCUGAAUAAAAUCUAUUUUCUUA